GUUGGAAACAACCCUCAAUGCAACAGUGUUGGAAGGUGGAGACUUUGGGGAGGAGUUUAGGUCAUAAAGGCUUUGCCCUCAUGAAUGGAUUAAUGCCACUACAAAAAGGGUUUGCAGGAGUAGGCCCACUCUCUCUUGUUCUUCUGCCUUCUGACAGGUUCAUUGCUAAGGAAUGGAUUGAAUCAGUACCUAAACCAGCUGACAGGGAUGAAUAAAGAAUGCAUCUUUUGCCAAGUACUGGGUAGAAUUUCCUUGGAGAGACUACAGAAGUGUGAGCAAUUUGGCUCUGUUCAUUACAAACAGUGUCUAUGGCAGACAUAUGAAGACCACAACUCCCUCCUUGAUGGAACAGGACCCUCGCCCCAGAGUGAGAAAACUGACGCUCAGGCAUCGAUUAGGCAGGGAUGACUAUGUGGUUUCACAGAGGAAAGAUUUAGGAUGUGAUUAGAGGACUGAAACAGCCAUGGGCCAUCUCUCCAGAGCGCAGCAGACUUCUAACACAAGGAGGAACUACCACCCUAGCCUGACUUUUGGUUGUCUCCAACUAGUUGAGGAUAUGCUUUCGAGAGCACAUCAACUUUGGUGCAAUGUUGGGGGUGGAAGGGGAGGUUUUGUAUCUGUUUUACAAUUUAGACACACACACACAAGAUUUGAGUUAGAGCACAGAGUAUGCUUAAAACAUGGCAUAGAGUCAUAAGAUGAAACAAAGCCUGCCUCCACUUGUUACUGCUUCCUUUUUGGUGUGUAUGAUCUAUUUCUUCCUAUUUUGUGGAAGCUUGUCAGUCCUCAAACUGGAAGGCUCAAAUACAAUAUUUCAAACUGGCACCAGAUUCAUGUAACCCUAUAGGGCAUGCCAGAAUUCUGGGCAAUCUUUUAAGGAUACAUAGUCCACAGAAUGAAUAAAACCAGCAUCUAUUGCCAGGGCAAAAUUUAGUAUGGGUUUUAGGGGUCAUUGGCUAAAAACAAAAUGCCAAUAUGCUGGCUGAAUCAACUGGGUUUUAUUCAUUUUACAUUCCCAGCAUUAAGCAUAGCUAUUACUAGGCAUUGGGUCAGUUUCAUGGCUGAAGCCUGGUAUUAUCUGGCAUUUCUUUUACUUGAGAAAAGGGAAACAUCUUGAGGACUUGAUUUAAUGUGAAAGAAAUGUAAUUUAAAGGAACUAAAAGGAGAAUGAUUAUCAUUGUUGUUUGCUAACACAUAAAGUAUAGUGAGUUACAUACCAGAAAUUUACUGGUAAAACCAUUUUGUAGGUUAAAAAAAUCAAGUGUAUGUAAGUCACAAUCUCAAAUAUUACAUUCUCACUAACAUCUGUAUAAAAAGAUCUGUCCCCAUAAGAAAAUAAAUUCUUGAACCACAGGGAAACCAAUUUAUCAUUCUGGCUCAUUCUUUUUCCCCUUACCUAAUUUGCUCCCAUUUCUGAACCUCAUUUUCUCUAGUUUGCUCCAAAGCUAUUCUGCUUUUAAUAUCUCACAAGACCUGGAUUGUUUCCUGUGUGCACAACAGGCUUUUAAAAUACAUGGGCUUAACCUGCUACCCAGGUGCACCCUUUUCUCAACAUUUCUCCAUCUCGCA
rnacentral:lncRNA from 1 species